AGCAGAGAGUGGCGAACGGGUGAGUAACACGUGGGCAACCUACCCCUCACACUGGGAUAACCUCGGGAAACCGGGGCUAAUACCGGAUAUUCACGACCUCGGGCAUCCGAGGACGUGGAAAGGAUUCUGGUGAGGGAUGGGCCCGCGGCCUAUCAGUUUGUUGGUGGGGUAAUGGCCUACCAAGACGACGACGGGUAGCCGGCCUGAGAGGGCGACCGGCCACACUGGGACUGAGACACGGCCCAGACUCCUACGGGAGGCUGCAGUGGGGAAUAUUGCGCAAUGGACGAAAGUCUGACGCAGCAACGCCGCGUGAGGGAUGAAGUACAUCGAGAUGUAAACCUCUUUCAGUAGGGACGAAGCGAAAGUGACGGUACCUGCAAAAGAAGCGCCGGCUAACUACGUG
rnacentral:rRNA from 1 species